AGAGUUUGAUCCUGGCUCAGAACGAACGCUGGCGGCGUGUCUUAAGCAUGCAAGUCGUGCGGCAAGGGCAGCAAUGCCCCUAGAGCGGCGGACUGGUGAGUAACGCGUGGGUGAUCUGCCCUUGGGUUGGGGAUAGCCAUUAGAAAUAGUGGGUAAUACCGAAUACGUUCCCUCGACUGUGGUUGGGGGAGGAAAGGCGCUUCGGCGCCACCCGAGGAUGAGCCCGCGUCCCAUUAGCUAGUUGGUGAGGUAAAGGCCCACCAAGGCGAUGAUGGGUAGGCGGCCUGAGAGGGUGUACGCCCACACUGGGACUGAGAUACGGCCCAGACUCCUACGGGAGGCAGCAGCUAAGAAUAUUCCGCAAUGGACGAAAGUCUGACGGAGCGACGCCGCGUGGAUGACGAAGGCCGAAAGG
rnacentral:rRNA from 1 species